rnacentral:rRNA from 1 species
UUUGCAUUUCUGUGCUAUACUGCAAGUCGAGCGGACAGAUGGGAGCUUGCUCCCUGAUGUUAGCGGCGGACGGGUGAGUAACACGUGGGUAACCUGCCUGUAAGACUGGGAUAACUCCGGGAAACCGGGGCUAAUACCGGAUGGUUGUUUGAACCGCAUGGUUCAAACAUAAAAGGUGGCUUCGGCUACCACUUACAGAUGGACCCGCGGCGCAUUAGCUAGUUGGUGAGGUAACGGCUCACCAAGGCAACGAUGCGUAGCCGACCUGAGAGGGUGAUCGGCCACACUGGGACUGAGACACGGCCCAGACUCCUACGGGAGGCAGCAGUAGGGAAUCUUCCGCAAUGGACGAAAGUCUGACGGAGCAACGCCGCGUGAGUGAUGAAGGUUUUCGGAUCGUAAAGCUCUGUUGUUAGGGAAGAACAAGUACCGUUCGAAUAGGGCGGUACCUUGACGGUACCUAACCAGAAAGCCACGGCUAACUACGUGCCAGCAGCCGCGGUAAUACGUAGGUGGCAAGCGUUGUCCGGAAUUAUUGGGCGUAAAGGGCUCGCAGGCGGUUUCUUAAGUCUGAUGUGAAAGCCCCCGGCUCACCCGGGGAGGGUCAUUGGAAACUGGGGAACUUGAGUGCAGAAGAGGAGAGUGGAAUUCCACGUGUAGCGGUGAAAUGCGUAGAGAUGUGGAGGAACACCAGUGGCGAAGGCGACUCUCUGGUCUGUAACUGACGCUGAGGAGCGAAAGCGUGGGGAGCGAACAGGAUUAGAUACCCUGUAGUCCACGCCGUAACGAUGAGUGCUAAGUGUUAGGGGGUUUCCGCCCCUUAGUGCUGCAGCUAACGCAUUAAGCACUCCGCCUGGGGAGUACGGUCGCAGACUGAAACUCAAGGAUUGACGGGGGCCCGCACAGCGUGAGCAUGUGUUUAUCGAAGCACGCGAGACCUUACCAGGUCUUGACAUCUCUGACAUCCUAGAAGAUAGGACGUCCCCUUCGGGGGCA